CAGUAGCCGCGGGAAUACGCAGGUGGCAAGCGUUGUCCGGAAUUAUUGGGCGUAAAGGGCUCGCAGGCGGUUUCCUAAGUCUGAUGUGAAAGCCCCCGGCCCAACCGGGGAGGGUCAUUGGAAACUGGGAAACUUGAGUGCAGAAGAGGAGAGUGGAAUUCCACGUGUAGCGGUGAAAUGCGUAGAGAUGUGGAGGAACACCAGUGGCGAAGGCGACUCUCUGGUCUGUAACUGACGCUGAGGAGCGAAAGCGUGGGGAGCGAACAGGAUUAGAUACCCCGGUAGUCCCUGUCUCUUAUAC
rnacentral:rRNA from 1 species